CGCACCAGCAGCCCGCACCAGGGCCCCCGGCCGCUGCUUUCCCCUACCCGAGCCGCCUGGGGGAGUGUGAAAGUGAUUUGAAUUUGGCUCGGCGGCGCUCUGCGCCUGCGCCCAGCCUCUGGCGUGCUGGCUCCUUCCAAGCAGCUGUUUUGGGUUUGAAAUUCCAACAUGGCAGAGGCUGCAGUCCGUCUUCCCUUCAAAAACUUGGAAUGAUUUCAAAUCAUAGGCACCUUCACUUAACCCGAGCUUCCAUUCAUCAGCAAACACAUCGGAUCGAUGCUACGCUAACCUAUCGGGUUCUCGCUCGGCGCGUUCAGGUAAGAGGAGCUUCGUAGUUUUCUACCAUCUGUUUAAAUUUGUUUUUGUUUUUGUUUGUUUUAUUCUUAAAUAAUACAAAUAGAUCCAGGACCUUUAAUAAAAGGAAGUCUUCGUAUUGUGCCGUAAAUAUUAAAUUUAAUUUGCACCCGUUUCUAUUCUGUACGCCAACCUGCUGUCUAAUUUCUCUGUACGAAGUAGCCCUGAAACAUUAUGAUGCAUAAUUUUGCUGCUUAAUCAUUGUAACAAUAGUGUGGGAUUAAGAGUUAGCGAUUGCAAAAAUCUCGUUUUCCGCUAUCUUGGACUUACUUAUUAUGAUCUUUGUACUUAAAAAAAAAAAAAAAAAAAGGAAAGCGGAGCAAUAGGGUGGGGCUAGACUUUCUUCGGGAACUAACUUCUAAGUAAAUAAGAAGUGUAAAUAAGAAUCCUGCACACACACAAAAAGUUGAGGUUAAAUUACGAUCUCGUGGCUGGGAGUACGUGAAAAUGUCAGAAGAUCGGUUGCAGAAAAAUAUAAGCACAUCAUCUUGGAGGGGGUACAGCGUGGUGGGCGUAUUGUUGGCAAGGAAUGGGAGAGAAAGAUGUAUAAUUUAAUGGUAUAUACAAUCCACUGAUCCUAUUACCGUCCUCCCCGGAGCUCUUGUUAGUUUCAAUGGGAGUGAGUGAAAUUGACAUGGACUUGCAUUCCUGGUCAUGUGCUUUUUUUCCUUUCUUUCUUCUCCUGUGAUCUGAGAUCCCCUUUUUGUUGAUGUUGCUUUCCCCCUUAAUUAUAUGCAUGUAGGUUAAAUGAAUACCUGACGAAAGGGCCCACGUUUCAAGGCAGUGACAUUUGAUAGCUGAGAGGAAAAGUGGCUUUAAUGAAAAGCAACCUUUGGAAUUCCUGCUUGUGAGAAAUCCAAUUCAGCUUUUUGUGCUGCCAGCAAGAAAUGAUCAGUAGCACCAGUGUUUAUGGUAUGUCAGUUUUGGAAUUUACUUCCUUUGCAUCUAAAUAGGGAAGACAAAUUAAAUAGCAUGAUAAAACCGUUGAAGACUUGCCUUGGAGAGCAGAUGCUAAUGACAUAUAAUUGCUUUCAAAAAAUGUAUGUCUUAAUCUGUUA
rnacentral:lncRNA from 1 species